rnacentral:lncRNA from 10 species
GCAGAUUCUUGGCAGACCUCUGUUGUUUUUCUAGAGUUGUAGGCAAGUAGUUGGACAAAAAGCAAGAAGCUGAUCGAUGUUGCUGGCUUUGGAUUCUUUGUGAACAAAUGAGACAAGCCCCUUUUGUCUAAAAUAGUGAUGUACAUUAAAUGCAAAGGGCAAAUGGAACCAUUGAAAAGUACUUUUUGCAUCCAAAACAGCCAACGCUUUGGUGCCUGCUAUGUGUCAGACACUGAUUCUUCUGUCAUCCUUAUUCUACUGAUGAGGCAACUGAGGCAGCUUCAGAGAGUUCGAGUAACCUGCGGAUCACACAACUAGGAAGUAAGAGAGCUGGAACUUGACGUUGGGCUGUUGACCUCCAGAAAUGGUGUUUUUUCCAGUACUCAGUGCUGCCUCUGACUCCAUUGUGAUGGUUGAUUUUAUGUGUCAACUUGACUGGGCCCAGGGGUACCCAGAUAUUUGGUCAAACAUUAUUCUGGGUGUUUCUGUGAGGGCGUUUUGGGUGAGAUUAACAUUUAAAUUGGUAGACUGAGUAAAGCAGAUGGCCCUCUAUGAUAUGGCCAGGCCUCAUCCAAUCCAUUGAAAGCCUGAAUGGAACAAAAAGGCCAACCCUCCCUCAGUAGGAGGAAAUUUCGUCUGCUUGACUGCAUUCAAACUAGGACGUCAACUUUUUCCUGCCUUUGGACUUGAAUAGAAACAUCAGCUCUUCCUAGAUCUUCAACCUGCCAGGCUUCAGAUUGAAGUUUAUACCAUCAGCUCUCUUGGUUCUUGGGCCUUUGGACCCAGACUGUAAGUGCACCAUCCGUUCUCUUGGGUCUUGCUUGCUGACUCACCCUGCAGAUUUGGGGACUUAUCAGCCUCUAAUUCUGUGAGCCAAUUCCUUCUAAUAUAUCUCUCUAUACGCAUCCUGUCUCACUGGAAGAACCCUGAUACGGUUAGGCUUUGUGUCCUCAUUCAAAUCUCAUCUUGAAUUGUAAAUCCCAUAAUCCCCAUAAUCCCCAUGUGUCAGGGGAGGGAUCAGGUGGAGGUAAUUGCAUCAUGGGAGCAGUUUCCCCUGUGCUCUUCUCACGAUAGUGAAAGAGUUCUCACAAGAUCUGAUGGUUUUAUAAGGGGCUCUUCCCCCUUUGCUCUGCACUUCCCCUUCCUGCUGCCUUGUGGCCUUGUGAAGAAGGUGUCUUGCUUCCCCUUUGCCCUCCUCCAUGAUUGUAAGUUUCCUGAGGCCUCCCCAGUCAUGCAGAACUGUGAGUCAAUUAAACCUCUGUCCUUUAU